rnacentral:rRNA from 1 species
GACGAACGCUGGCGGCGUGCUUAACACAUGCAAGUCGAACGGAAAGGCCCUGCUUUUGUGGGGUGCUCGAGUGGCGAACGGGUGAGUAACACGUGAGUAACCUGCCCUUGACUUUGGGAUAACUUCAGGCAACUGGGGCUAAUACCGGAUAGGAGCUCCUGCUGCAGGGUGGGGGUUGGAAAGUUUCGGCGGUGGGGGAUGGACUCGGGGCUUAUCAGCUUGUGGGUGGGGUAGUGGCCUACGAAGGCUUUGGCCGGUGGUCGGCAUGAGAGGGUGACCGGGGACAUUGGGCCUGCGGUAGGGCCCAGAGUGCAACAGGAGGCAACAGUGGGGAAUAUUGCACAACGGGCGGAAGUGUGAUGCAAAAACGCCGCGUGCGGGAUGACGGCCUUCGGGUUGUAAAGCGCUUUAGCCUGUGACGAAGCGUGAGUGACGGUAAUGGGUAAAGAAGCACCGGCUAACUACGUG